UUAUGUAUGAGCGUCUCUAAAAACUGUUAUGUAUAAUUUUUUUUGUUAAUUUUUUUAAAAUAAUAUUAUAUUAUAUUAUAUUAUAUUAAAAAUAACAAAUAAAUUGUUUAGCCUAAAAUCUGAAUUUAUUCAUAGAUAUAGACUUUGAGAAAUAAAAAACUCAUAAUAUUUUUUUUAUUAAAUAACACUUAAAUAAAAUCUGAAAAUAUUAUUAGAAACCUAAAUACCCAAAAUUGAAUAAUAAAAAUUAAAUAAAAGAAAAAAGAAAAAGAUUUCCAUUCCUAAAAUUUGAAAAUAUUAUCAGCCCUAACACUUCUCUCUCUAGUUCGCCUCCCCCCAAAUCUCAAUUUGUCGCGCCUUCCCCGAGUCCGCCGCGCCCCCCGAUCUACCGCGCCUUCAUCCAGCUCCCCCAGUCCAUCGCGCCCUCGGUCUGCCUCCGUCGCGCCCUCGUUCUUGCUCCGGCGUGUUUUAUUGGCCGACUGUGCGGCGGCGGCGGGCUAGGGUUUUGAAACCCUAGCUGUGAUGAAGAGAAGAAACGGGUCAGAAAGAUGGGCUAGGGUUUUCCAGACUCCAGUCUUCGCCGCGUCUCCACGAUCUGCCGCGCCGCUUCCUUUUCAGACCGCCGUCCGUCUAUCCACCGGCAACUCACGCACACCGCACACGGUAAGCCCUCUCUUUCAGAAUUUGAAUUACAGUAGGCUUUUUCUUAAGUUUUUGGAAUUAGAAUUUCAAAUUUGCUUGAAUUUGUUUCAAAUUUUACUCUGUUAUUGUAUAAUGUGUAUAGCUGUGUGAUGAGUUUUAUCUCUUUCCGAUUUCUGGAUCUUGUCAAAUUUGACCUCUGAGUUUCCUUCAUGGAGCAUCGCCACCACUGAUUUCAACAACCGCCGCCGUCUGAUUCACCCGCCACUUCUCGGCCGUAGCAGUCACACUGUGUUCUCUCUCUCAUUUAAUGCCUAUUUCUAAUCUCUUCAAUCGAUUUUGAGGCUUCUAAUUUGUUAUUUUGUUUUAUCUUGCAACUGCAAAAUUUGGGAUUUCUUGAUUUCUUAGAUGAAGGCUGGCUGGAUAUCUCGAGGUUUGGGGAACAAAUUAAUUGCUAAUUCUUUUCAAAUUGGAAGCGUUUCUUUGAUUUCUCUCCUGGGUUCCUCUGCUGCUGGUCUUACACAAGCU
rnacentral:lncRNA from 1 species